rnacentral:rRNA from 1 species
GACGUAGGGUGCGAGCGUUGUCCGGAAUUAUUGGGCGUAAAGAGCUCGUAGGCGGUUUGUCGCGUCGGCCGUGAAAACUUGGGGCUUAACUCCAAGCUUGCGGUCGAUACGGGCAGACUUGAGUUCGGCAGGGGAGACUGGAAUUCCUGGUGUAGCGGUGAAAUGCGCAGAUAUCAGGAGGAACACCGGUGGCGAAGGCGGGUCUCUGGGCCGAUACUGACGCUGAGGAGCGAAAGCGUGGGGAGCGAACAGG